rfam:Rubrobacter xylanophilus DSM 9941, complete genome.
GGGCGAUUAGCUCAGGGGUAGAGCGCCUCCCUUACAAGGAGGAGGUCGCUGGUUCGAAUCCAGCAUCGCCCA